rnacentral:tRNA from 1 species
GGGGGCGUAGCAUAACCUGGUCAGUGUAGCCGGCUCCAAUAUGGGUCCGUGUUCAAAUCACGGCGUCCCCA